ensembl:snRNA U6 U6 spliceosomal RNA
GCUUACUUCAGCAGCAUAUACUAAAAUUGGAACCACACAGAGAAGAUUAGCAUGGCCCCUGAGUAAGACAUGCAAAUUCAUGAAGCCUUCCAUAUUUAU